rnacentral:rRNA from 1 species
AGUGAACGCUGGCGGUAGGCCUAACACAUGCAAGUCGAACGGCAGCACAGUAAGAGCUUGCUCUUACGGGUGGCGAGUGGCGGACGGGUGAGGAAUACAUCGGAAUCUACUUUUUCGUGGGGGAUAACGUAGGGAAACUUACGCUAAUACCGCAUACUACCUACGGGUGAAAUCAAGAGAUCUUCGGACCUUGCGCGAUUGAAUGAGCCGAUGUCGGAUUAGCUAGUUGGCAGGGUAAAGGCCCACCAAGGCAACGAUCCGUAGCUGAUCUGAGAGGAUGAUCAGCCACACUGGAACUGAGACACGGUCCAGACUCCUACGGGAGGCAGCAGUGGGGAAUCUUGGACAAUGGGCGCAAGCCUGAUCCAGCCAUACCGCGUGGGUGAAGAAGGUCUUCGGGUUGUAAAGCUCUUUUGUUGGGAAAGAAAAGCUGUAGGUUAAUACCCCGCUGUUCUGACGGUACCCAAAGAAUAAGCAACGGCUAACUUCGUG